UGUAUAAUAGUUUAAAAAAAACAAUGGUUUUGUAAACCAUAUUUGUGCACCUUAUACAUUCAG
rnacentral:tRNA from 1 species